AACGCAAAUUGCACUUCUUGGUAUUCCGAGGAGUAUGCUUGCUUGAGGGUUGGUCUACAAAAUAAUCGUGAAAAAAAAAUUUUUUUUUCGAGGAUCUGGGUUUUCCGAGUUUUCUUAAGACUUUGAUAACCUAAAAUUUAUCUUAACAAUCUUUUAGGUAGAAAUGUUUUAUCUUACAUAUUGUAAAUUCAUUGAUAAUUAUACCAAUUGUUACAUCGCGUUAUUCAUCUAGUAUCUUUUGAUUAGAUGAAAUAAUUCAACCUUUUAAUCCUACCUCAAGUCAAGUAAGAAUACCCGCUGAACUUAA
rnacentral:misc_RNA from 1 species